GACGAACGCUGGCGGCGUGGAUUAGGCAUGCAAGUCGAACGGUAUCAUCCUUUCGGGGGUGAGAGAGUGGCGAACUGGUGAGUAACACGUAGGUUAUCUACCCUCAAGACGGGGACAACCCAGGGAAACUUGGGCUAAUACCGGAUGUGAGCAACUUUUAGUUGUUUGAAAGGUGGCGUAAGCUGUCGCUUGGGGAUGAGCCUGCGUCCUAUUAGUUAGUUGGUGAGGUAACGGCUCACCUAGGCAAUGAUAGGUAGGCGGCCUUAACGGGUGGUCGCCCACACUGGGAUUGAGAUACGGCCCAGACUCCUACGGGAGGCAGCAGUCGAGAAUAGUCUACAAUGGUCGGAAGACUGAUAGUGCGACGCCGCGUGAACGAUGAAUCCCUUUCGGGGGUGUAAAAGUUCUUUUAUAUGUGAGCAGUGCUUCUUAUAUUAACAGUAUGGGGAGAGAGAUAUUAGCAUAUGAAUAAGCAACGGCUAACUCCGUGCCAGCAGCCGCGGUAAUA
rnacentral:rRNA from 1 species